CAUACUAUUAGGUUGGUGCAAAAGUAAUUGCGGUUUUUGCCAUUACCUUUAAUGGCAAAAACCGCAAUUACUUUUGCACCAACCUAGUAACUU
rnacentral:pre_miRNA from 1 species